rnacentral:rRNA from 1 species
UCUGGUUGAUCCUGCCAGUAGUCAUAUGCUUGUCUCAAAGAUUAAGCCAUGCAUGUCUAAGUAUAAAUAGUAUACAGUGAAACUGCGAAUGGCUCAUUAAAACAGUUAUAGUUUAUUUGAUAAUUGACAAUUACAUGGAUAACCGUGGUAAUUCUAGAGCUAAUACAUGCUUAAACGCCCGACUUUAUGGAAGGGUGGUAUUUAUUAGACUGAAGCCAAUAUUCCUUGUGUCUAUUGCGGUGAUUCAUAAUAACUGAUCGAAUCUCUUUUUGAGAUAAAUCAUUCAAGUUUCUGCCCUAUCAGCUUUCGAUGGUAGUGUAUUGGACUACCAUGGCAGUAACGGGUAACGAAGAAUUAGGGUUCGAUUUCGGAGAGGGAGCAUGAGAAACGGCUACCACAUCUAAGGAAGGCAGCAGGCGCGUAAAUUACCCAAUCCUGACUCAGGGAGGUAGUGACAAGAAAUAGCAAACCGGGAACCUCAUGGUUUCACGGUAUUGCAAUGAGAACAAUUUAAAACCCUUAGCGAGAAUCAAGUGGAGGACAAGUCUGGUGCCAGCACCCGCGGUAAUUCCAGCUCCACUAGCGUAUAUUAAAGUUGUUGCAGUUAAAAAGCUCGUAGUUGAACCUCUGUCUGGGCUAGUUUUGGCUUUGGUCAGGCUAGUUCUAGGCAUCCGCCUACAAGACUUAGAGGGCAUUCAGUUGUUCACUAGGAGGAGUAGGCAUUUUACUCUGAAAAAAUUAGAGUGUUUAAGGCAGGCAAUCGCCCGCAUAUAUUAGCAUGGAAUAAUAGAAUAGGACACUUUUCCAUUUCGUUGGUUAUUGGAAUCGUGUAAUGAUUAAUAGGGACAGUUGUGGGCAUUUGUAUUUAAUUGUCAGAGGUGAAAUUCUUGGAUUUAUUAAAGACAAACUAACGCGAAAGCAUUUGCCAAGGAUGUUUUCAUUAAUCAAGAACGAAAGUUAGGGGAUCAAAGACGAUCAGAUACCGUCCUAGUCUUAACUAUAAACUAUUCCGACUCAAUGUUUGACUGGCUUAUAUAACCAGUUGAGCGUUGUAUGAGAAAUCAAAGUCUUUAGGUUCUGGGGGGAGUAUGGUUGCAAAGCUGAAACUUAAAGGAAUUGACGGAAGAGCACAACCAGGAGUGGAUUCUGCGGCUUAAUUUGACUCAACACGGGGAAACUUACCAGGUUAAAACAAUAGUGGGAUUGACAGUUUGAGAGCGCUUUCUUGAUUGGUUGGGUGGUGGUGCAUGGCCGUUCUUAGUUGGUGGAGUGAUUUGUCUGCUUAAUUGCGUUAACGAACGAGACCUUAACCUGCUUACUAGACUGGCGAUCAUCAAUCGUUAGCUCUUCUUAGAGGGACUUUGGUUGUC